CUCAAUGGCCAUACCUCGUAGAAAACAACCGGUCUCGUCAGCUCCCUGCCGUUAAGCUGCGUCGGGUGCCGUUAGAACUUAGAAGGGUGACCACUUGGGAAUACGGGAUGCUGUUGGCA
rnacentral:rRNA from 1 species